GGAUGUGAGGGCAAUCUGGUUAUGACAUUUGUCAUCCCAUUGAUCACCAGGGUUAAUUCAGGUAAUCUGGUUGGCUAGGGGAUCCCUGUCUUCCCUCAUACUCCAUGUACUUUUCUCCCAAAGCUGCAGGCUCUGUUGAAGAGGAUGACGUUCCAGAUAGAAGAAGAUAGUUCUUUGGUCAAGGGCAUAAAAGUAGCUGCCCUCCUCUGCUAGAAACUCCAAAUAGGCUCUCAAGGUCCAAAUACAAUUCUAGUUCUUUUAUAUAUGAAUUUUCUUCUUGGGUACUUCUGCCCUCUUUA
rnacentral:snRNA from 1 species